rnacentral:rRNA from 1 species
UGGGGAAUAUUGGACAAUGGGCGAAAGCCUGAUCCAGCCAUGCCGCGUGUGUGAAGAAGGUCUUCGGAUUGUAAAGCACUUUAAGUUGGGAGGAAGGGCAGUUACCUAAUACGUGAUUGUUUUGACGUUACCGACAGAAUAAGCACCGGCUAACUCUGUGCCAGCAGCCGCGGUAAUACAGAGGGUGCAAGCGUUAAUCGGAGUUACUGGGCGUAAAGCGCGCGUAGGUGGUUUGUUAAGUUGGAUGUGAAAUCCCCGGGCUCAACCUGGGAACUGCAUUCAAAACUGACUGACUAGAGUAUGGUAGAGGGUGGUGGAAUUUCCUGUGUAGCGGUGAAAUGCGUAGAUAUAGGAAGGAACACCAGUGGCGAAGGCGACCACCUGGACUAAUACUGACACUGAGGUGCGAAAGCGUGGGGAGCAAACA